GUCUUUUUGGUUAAUUAAUAUAAAGUCUGACCUGCCCACUGAAUAUAUUUUGAAGGGCCGCAGUAUUUUGACUGUGCAAAGGUAGCAUAAUCAUUAGUCUUUUAAUUGAAGGCUGGUAUGAAUGGUUGGAUGAGGUACAAGCUGUGUCAUAAAAAUUAUUUUUUGAAUUUACCUUUUUAGUCAAAAGGCUAAAAUAAAGUUAAAAGACGAGAAGACCCUAUAGAGCUUUAUAUAAUUUAUAUUUAAAUUAUUAAGAUUUUUUAAAUUUAAUUAUAUUAUUAUAUUUUGUUGGGGUGACAAUAAAAUUUAUAAAACUUUUAUUUUUAUUAAUCAUUUAUUUAUGUUUAUAUGAUCCAGUUUUAUUGAUUAUAAAUUUAAGUUACCUUAGGGAUAACAGCGUAAUUUUUUUUGAGAGUUCUUAUCGACAAAAAAGAUUGCGACCUCGAUGUUGGAUUAAGAGUAAUUUUGGGUGUAGAAGUUCAAAGUUUAAGUCUGUUCGACUUUUAAAUUCUUACAU
rnacentral:rRNA from 1 species